UGUAACUUUUUUUUACAAGUAGUGUUUGGUGUCUGUAACAUGAGCAGAUAACAGUAGUGAUGAAGAUAUAUUGGGGAGAUCCUCGUGAGAAGAUUUGCGAAGCUGUUGAACAUAUUCCUCUCUCUAGCCUUGUCAUCGGUAACCGAGGCCUUGGUGGUCUUAAGAGGAUGAUAAUGGGAAGUGUAAGCAACCAUGUUGUGAACAACGUGGCAUGCCCUGUGACCGUCGUGAAGGCUCACCACUGAGCUCUGUGUUGAUACUGCUCCGGAGAAGCUGAUAGCCUACCGGUGUAUAUCCUAAGAUUUGUGUGUCGUUGUGUCGUUGUGUCUUAAUAUGUAUUUAUAACUCUUGUGUCACUUGUAUGUUGUUUAUCUUGAGCAUCUUUGUCUUUUCACUGGGUAAAAGUAUUUCUACCUUCUAAUAAUAAUUACUCGUUUUGAGUUUUGGACCAAGCUGAUUUGCUCUUUUCAACCAUGUCAAUGAUUUUUUUUUUAAUCUCGAUUUCUUAUUAAUUAAAAGUGUACAACAA